GACGAACGCUGGCGGCGCGCCUAACACAUGCAAGUCGAACGGAGUCAAGAGGAGCUUGCUUUUCUUGACUUAGUGGCGAACGGGUGAGUAACGCGUGAGUAACCUGCCCUGGAGUGGGGGACAACAGUUGGAAACGACUGCUAAUACCGCAUAAGCCCACGGAUCUGCAUGGAUCUGCGGGAAAAGGAUUUAUUCGCUCUAGGAUGGACUCGCGUCCAAUUAGCUAGUUGGUGAGGUAACGGCCCACCAAGGCGACGAUUGGUAGCCGGACUGAGAGGUUGAACGGCCACAUUGGGACUGAGACACGGCCCAGACUCCUACGGGAGGCAGCAGUGGGGGAUACUGCACAAUGGGGGAAACCCUGAUGCAGCGACGCCGCGUGGAGGAAGAAGGUUUUCGGAUUGUAAACUCCUGUCGUUAGGGACGAUAAUGACGGUACCUAACAAGAAAGCACCAGCUAACUACGUG
rnacentral:rRNA from 1 species